UCCCUUAUCUUCCAUUUUAGAAUCUAUAUUGUGCAUUGGAUCUAAAGCACAUGAUAAUGGGGGUUACGUGACUUGCCCAGAGUCACACCACUGGAUCCCCGCUGAGCUCCUCCAGAAAGUGGCUGUGAAAGCUAGGGGAGAAAGCCAGCGGGACGAAGUGUCUGAAACGCUCCUGAGCUCCAAGACCUCGACUGUUUGCCCAGUACCUACCUCCUCUGGCUUAUAGCUUGCCUCUUCCCUCCGACCCUUUAUCUUUCAUCACGGCAAGGCCGAGCGUGUGGAGGAAGACUCUUUCAAGUGUUAACCACUGCUACCGUAAAGACCAGCCCUGUUUUUGGACAUGUCCAACAAUUUUGCUUCAUUACAUUAUAUGGUGGAAAGAAUGACGUCUUUGCAGCUAAACAACCUGAAUUGUCUGAACUCUACUACUUGUAUGAUCAUAUAAAAGUAUCUUCACCUUUCUUGUCCUCAGUGUCCUCAAUUAUAAAAGGAAGGGGUUAUAUUAGAUGAUCUUUAAGCCAGUUCAAAAUCCUAUGAACUGUGAAAACUGGAACAACCAAACUUAUAUAAUAUUAAAAUCGGAGAUGACUGAGCUCAACCUGGACAGUUAUCCUCUUUCUUAGUUUCUAAGUAGGAAGCAACUGUCCUUAGCAGUCCCUUCCCAGUUGGGAUUUGUAAUCAAAUAG
rnacentral:lncRNA from 1 species